UGAGGAAUAUUGGUCAAUGGGCGAGAGCCUGAACCAGCCAAGUAGCGUGCAGGAUGACGGCCCUAUGGGUUGUAAACUGCUUUUAUGUGGGGAUAAAGUGCGUGACGUGUCAUGCAUUGCAGGUACCACAUGAAUAAGGACCGGCUAAUUCCGUGCCAGCAGCCGCGGUAAUACGGAAGGUCCGGGCGUUAUCCGUAUUUAUUGGGUUUAAAGGGAGCGUAGGCUGUCUAUUAAGCGUGUUGUGAAAUUUACCGGCUCAACCGGUGGGUUGCAGCGCGAACUGGUCGACUUGAGUAUGCAGGAAGUAGGCGGAAUUCAUGGUGUAGCGGUGAAAUGCUUAGAUAUCAUGACGAAAACCGAUUGCGCAGGCAGAUUACUGUAGCACAACUGACGCUGAUGCGCGAAAGUGCGGGUAUCAAACAGG
rnacentral:rRNA from 1 species